CCACGCCGUAAACGAUGAGUGCUAGGUGUCGGGGGUCAAACCUCGGUGCCGACGUUAACACAUUAAGCACUCCGCCUGGGGAGUACGUGCGCAAGCAUGAAACUCAAAGGAAUUGACGGGGACCCGCACAAGCAGCGGAGCAUGUGGUUUAAUUCGAAGCAACGCGAAGAACCUUACCGGGGCUUGACAUAUAUCUGACCCUCUUAGAGAUAAGAACUUUCUUCGGAACAGAUAUACAGGUGGUGCAUGGUUGU
rnacentral:rRNA from 1 species